UCUAUUAUUUUAUUUUUUCAGUGGUUUGUUUCAUUUUUAAGGGCUGCACAGUGGCGUAGUGGUUAGCACUUUGACCUUGCAGCGAGAAGAUCCCUGGUUCGCGUCCCGGCUUUCCUGGGAUCUUUCUGCAUGGAGUUUGCAUGUUCUCCCUGUGCAUGCGUGGGUUUUCUCCGGGUUCUCCGGCUUCCUCCCACAGUCCAAAAAUAUGCUGAGGUUAAUUGAUCAUUCUAAAUUGCCCUUAGGUGUGAAUGUGAGAGUGAUUGUUUAUCUCUGUAUGUAGCCCUGUGAUAGACUGGUGACCUGUCUAGGGUGUCCCCUGCCUUCGCCCGAGUCAGCUGGGAUAGACUCCAGCGGCCCCCCCCAUAGAUAAUGGAUGGAUGGAUGUUUCAUUUUUUUGGUUAUGUUAUUUUUCCAGUUGUUUAUUUUUUUCCUGGUUAUUUAUUUUAUUUUUCCAAUUAUUUGUUUUCCUUGCUGGUCGUUUGUUUCAUAUUCUAAUAGUUUGUUUAAUUUUGUCAGUUGUUUAUUUUAUUAUCCAUUUUUUUAUGUCAUUUUUCCAAUUGAUUAUUUUGUUUUCCAGUUGUUUAUUUUAUUUUUCCGGUUGUUUAUUUUAUUUUCUGGUUGUUUAUUUUAUUUUUCUGAGUGUUUAUUUUUCCAGUUAUAAGAAAAUGUUGUGCGCUGUCAUUACUCAAUACAUCCUGUGUAUCUUCUUCGAGGCUGGCAAGACCCUGAUGUGUUUCUAUGAACGUCUCCGUGCUUUUAUAUUGAUAGUCUGGAAUCCUACAAAGUAUUAUGGUAACUUCCUCUGACUACCUGCGUUUGUUUUCUUCUUAAAAUCUGGCAAACCCCUCCUAUCCAAAGAUCCAUGUCAAGGUGCCAUGCGAUGGGAGAUAUCAUCUGAAAUGCAAAAUAAAUUUUGACCAAACGGACCAUUAGGUCAAGGUUAAAGCAGAGCCUCUUAAUAAGCUUCAUUACUAGGUGUCGGCUCUUAUUUUGAAGGUGAACCCAAACAAACAGAAGGUUUGUACAUCAAUACAUGAUCGUUCAGAGUCUGAUCUUGUUGGAAAAACUUAAUUUACUGGUUAAGAUAAAUUUGGGCCCCGUAUAUUUUUUUAAUACUGGUGCAUAUAGGUGGAAAAUAUCAUUUAGAAACAAAUAAUCUGACGGUAUAGAUCAUACAUUUAACUUCAUAUCAACGUCUGUCACGCACAUGCGCGUGCAUGCGUCAUCUUAACGCCAUGGAAACAACGAUGACGCGCAGCCGAACUCCUAUGAAAGACCUAGAUCUUUCAACUGUCGUUCUGCACUUGAAUUUGGAGCUGACCUGUUAGACAAACUGGGCGCUGGAAAGCUGAACUGUCGAGAUUUGAAACGCUGGAAAGCAUUUGAAGAAUGGACCUUGUUGAAGAACAAACUCAGUGGAUUAGUGACAGAAGAAGAAGAAAACCGACCCGCUGGACAAACGGAUCAGACAGAAGAGCAGCUGCUGUUUGGAGGCCUGACAGACCUGGAGAGUCAGCACACAGAGUGAAAGUAGCAGUUCCUCCGUAAGGUCAGAGAUUGCAGCAUCUGAGGGCCUCUUCAAAAGAAGACGUAGUUGAUGAAGGCGUUCUGGAGCAGGACCAGAAAGACCACGACCAAGCAGCCGUGAGAUCUUAGGCAGCGUCUCCCUCGGGUCCCUCUCUAUCUCCCUACACAUCCACCAACCACUGGAACACAUCUCCAAAGUUCUGCCGGGCCAGCUCAGCUUCCCCUCAGAAGAAGUUCUGCCAGAUGAAGGAGCCUUUUGAAUAGGCAGCUGGCAUCAUGAUUGGACUGUACUUUGGUCUGUUCCAGUCCAGCUUCAGCUCCAGAGACAGCAGGUGGGACGAGUCAACGGAGGCCUGGUGGACGAAGGCAUGCAGCUGAGAACAAUACAGAAAACAACAGAGGAGGAGUGCAGCAUCCCAGAGCCAGAACAAACAGAGUAUGUCUCUUAGAAAACAUCAUAGUAUAGCCUUUGGUAUGAAAAAACGCCAUCAUAUACAUCGUAUAUUGUACAAAUAAGUCAAAGGAAAGAGACAUCCAUUGUAGAAUUGUAGUAAUUGUGGGCUGACUGAUUUACUGAUUAUCAGUAUUUUAUUCUUUACUGAUUUACAGUAAUAAAUACAUUUAAAAAUGGUGCUACUUUGGCUCUGAACCUUAAUCUACCUGUGGUCGCUCUGUCUUCUGGAGUGAUUUGAUUGGUUAUACUUAGCAUCUCUAAACAAAACAAAAACAUAUCAACAAAGUUUCCUGUUAGAGUUUGUGUUCUUCUAAGUUUAACUCCAAGAUUUUAAAUACUUUCAUUUACUGCAAAUGAAUAUCGACUCCAAACGUCUCAGUAAUAAUCAUUAUCAGCCUUAAAAACCCACAAAACACCCCUCUAUACUGGACCACACUUAGUACAGUCCAGUUCCCCCUUCUAUAAAUCUGCUUGGAAUCUGCUGCUUCCUGUUUGUCAAAGUGGCCUUCUACCUGGACAGGUUUUGUUGGAGCUCAUGCAACAAACAUUUUGGGUAACUGCACUUUAAUAUGGAUGGAUGACUCUGAAUUAGAGUCUGUUUUAAUGAGACUGAGUUAAGAUGUGUAGCUGUCAUUAAAUAGGAAAUUAUUUCUCAGAAUUCACAGAGAAAAGUCUGAAAUGUUUGCUAGGUUAGCGUCCCACAUGUUCUUUGGCUCAGCUAAAGCUAACUCUCUCCAGCUCCUGGAUCUCUUGAGUUGCUUGUUGUUAAAAUAUCUUGCUAUAGAUGCUGAAGCUCAGAAAGUCUGAGAUGUUUGUUCAAAAUAAGCUCAUUCUCAAGUCUGAUCUGAACUGUCCUCUUUUGUUUGAACUUUCCCUAAACUUAGGAGUUAAUGACAGAGCAGCACAUCCAGACUCAGUCUCAUUUAUGUAGAGAUUAAACUUCAGUGUCAUUCAUUGAUGUUAAAGUGCAGUUUUUCAAAUGUUUGUUGCACAUGCUCCCGACCAAACCAGUCCAGGUGGAAGAUGAUGUGAAGAGAAAGCUCCAGAGGAUGAAUAUCACAUAUUUACGUUGGAAAUAAAUGUCCUUUAAUUAGACAUUGUCAUGCAAAAGUUGGAUUUCCCUUUAAUGAUGUUCAAAUCUUUGUUGAGUGUUUUGUUGAUGUUGGUUUCUAAAUGUUUUUUGACACUCGGCCCCAAAGAUUAAAAUCUUUUACGGCUCACAAGCUGCAACAAUUCAUACAUUAUCAACUAUCUUUCUGACUAAACUAAGAUAAAAAGUGAAAAUCUGCCUGAUUCCUGCAUCAUGAAUGUAAUUCUUUUUGGUUUUUAUGACAGUAAACUGAAUAUAUUUGGGUUUAAUAUUUUAUAAGCCAAAACAAGAAAUGAAUUAUUGGAGAAAACAAUCAACAGAUUAAUGGACAAAGAAAAUGUGUUUUCCAAAAUAUAUGGCUGAAUUACUCCAACAUUACAAGAUACAUACAAUUUGAAUUCAAUUUUAUUUAUAUAACGCCAAUUACAGAUCAAAUUUUCUCAAGACGCUUUAUUUUCAUAUUUUUUUGUCAUAUUUAAAAUAUGUGAAAGUAAGAAAUUUAAACCUCUUGACUAAUCCAAUUUAUUAUUUGGUUUUUAAGAGACUAUUGGACAAUUAAAAUAACUUUCUCCACUAAAACUAAUAAACAUGAGGUCAAAUAGAAGGAACAGUUUUAAAUACUGCAGUCCCACGACGACAAGAAUAAAGUUUGUCAACAAAAACUAAAUCUGCUGUUGGAUUCCAUUAAAGUCCUAAUAAAUGAUAAUAAAGUGUGAUUCUAAAGGUUUGUGGUGCUAAAAAUGUCCAAGUAAAGAUAUCAAGUUGAAGAUCUGGAUGGAGGUUGAUAAAAGUUUCUCUCCCUUCAUUUCUCUGGAGCGACUCCAUGGAUUUUAUAGAUGGUGGUUCAAGACCUGCUCUUCUAGUGGUCUUCCUUCUAGUCGCUGUAAAAAGUCAGUCCAUCCUGGCAGACUUCAACACCUCUUCAUGUCAACUUGUUCUGCCUCCGACCUCGUGGAAACUCCAGAAACUUGGGAAAACCUGUGGAGACUCGAAGAACUCAUGGAGAC